rnacentral:rRNA from 1 species
AGAGUUUGAUCCUGGCUCAGAACGAACGCUGGCGGCGUGCUUAACACAUGCAAGUCGAACGAGAAAGGCCCCUUCGGGGGACGAGUAGAGUGGCGCACGGGUGAGUAACGCGUAGGUAAUCUACCCUUAUACCUGGGAUAACAUUGGGAAACUGGUGCUAAUACCGGAUACACUUUACUGCUGCGGGGCAGUAGAGGAAAGGUGACCUCUUGGUCAAAGUUACCGUAUAGGGAUGAGCCUGCGUACCAUUAGCUAGUAGGUGGGGUAACGGCCCACCUAGGCGACGAUGGUUAGCGGGUCUGAGAGGAUGAUCCGCCACACUGGAACUGGAACACGGACCAGACUCCUACGGGAGGCAGCAGUGAGGAAUAUUGCGCAAUGGGGGAAACCCUGACGCAGCGACGCCGCGUGAGUGAGGAAGGCCUUCGGGUCGUAAAGCUCUGUCAGAAGGGAAGAAGUGUUAUACGGUUAAUACCCGUAUAAUUUGACGGUACCUUCAGAGGAAGCACCGGCUAACUCCGUGCCAGCAGCCGCGGUAAUACGGAGGGUGCGAGCGUUGUUCGGAAUUACUGGGCGUAAAGGGCGCGUAGGCGGCUUUAUAAGUCAGAUGUGAAAGCCCACGGCUUAACUGUGGAAGUGCAUUUGAAACUGUGAAGCUUGAGUAUCGGAGGGGAGUGUGGAAUUCCCGGUGUAGAGGUGAAAUUCGUAGAGAUCGGGAGGAACACCGGUGGCGAAGGCGACACUCUGGACGAAUACUGACGCUGAGGCGCGAAAGCGUGGGGAGCAAACAGGAUUAGAUACCCUGGUAGUCCACGCCGUAAACGAUGUGAACUAGAGGUAGGUGGUGUUGAUCCCAUCUGUCUCGCAGCUAACGCAUUAAGUUCACCGCCUGGGGAGUACGGUCGCAAGAUUAAAACUCAAAGGAAUUGACG